AUUUGUUUGAUUGUGGUGUCUACGCUCUUUUAUUUGUUCAGAAGUUCAUUGAACAUGCCCCAGAAGGAGUGGAAAACAAAUAUCAAAAUGUGAUUGGGAAGACGUGCUUUGGAAUAAAAGAAGUUAAUGAUUUGAGAAUUAAUUUGAAAGAAUCAAUCAGAAAAGUAAUAGCUCAACAGAAACCAAAAGAAACACGAAAGAAGAGGAAAGCAGUAGAAAUUCAACAGAAACAACCGGAAGCAGUAGAAAGUCAACAACAAGUUUCAAAACCAGAACGAAAGAAGAGGCGUACAGAAUUGGAAAUUCUUUGUGGCCAACCAGUAGAUAAGAGCAAGAUUAUCCAGAGUGGGGCUGUCGAGCGGACAUUAAGAAGUAAAAAAGCUGUCAGGAAGGGACUAAGAAGUAAGAACUAAAUUAAAAAAUGAUAUUUCGCCAACUUUAGACAUAUUUAAAACGUAUGUGAAUUGUAUUAUAGAGUGCUCCUUCAUUCAAAAUGGAGGAUGGUGAAAAGUCUUUAUUA